rnacentral:rRNA from 1 species
GCUCCCAUCCAGGAAGGCAGCAGGCGCGUAAAUACCCAUCCUGACACGGGGAGGUAGUGACAAGAAAUAACAAUACGGGGCCCAUCGGGUCUUGUAAUUGGAAUGAGUACAAUCUAAAUCCCUUAACGAGGAUCAAUUGGAGGGCAAGUCUGGUGCCAGCAGCCGCGGUAAUUCCAGCUCCAAUAGCGUAUAUUAAGGUUGUUGCAGUUAAAAAGCUCGUAGUUGGAUUUCUGGUAGGAGCGACCUGGCAUGCGAAAUUGCAUGGUUCAGUUGUUGUGUUCCGGCCAUCCUUGUGAAGAGUGUGUGUGGCAUUAAUUUGUCGUGCGCAGGAUUCACAUCUUUCACUGUGAAAAAAUUAGAGUGUUCCAAGCAAGCAGGUUUGCGUUGAAUACAUUAGCAUGGAAUGAUGAGAUAGGACUUUUUUGGUGCUAUUUUGUUGGUUUACACACCAAGGUAAUGAUUAACAGGGACAGUUGGGGGUAUUCGUAUUUAAUUGUCAGAGGUGAAAUUCUUGGAUUUCUGAAAGACGAACUAGUGCGAAAGCAUUUACCAAGGAUGUUUUCAUUAAUCAAGAACGAAAGUUAGGGGAUCGAAGAUGAUUAGAUACCAUCGUAGUCUUAACCAUAAACUAUGCCGACUAGGGAUUGGCGGGUGUUUGAUUUACAUGACCUCGCCAGCACCUCAUGAGAAAUCAAAGUCUUUGGGGUCCGGGGGGAGUUAUGGUCCCAAGGCUGAAACUUAAAGGAAUUGAC